rnacentral:tRNA from 1 species
GCCUGGGUAGCUCAGUCGGUUGAGCAUCCGACUUCAGCUCGGGUCAUGAUCUCGCAGUUCAUGAGUUCAAGCCCCGUGUCGGGCU